CCUACGGGACGCAGCAGUGGGGAAUAUUGCACAAUGGGCGCAAGCCUGAUGCAGCCAUGCCGCGUGUGUGAAGAAGGCCUUCGGGUUGUAAAGCACUUUCAGCGGGGAGGAGGGCGGUGAGGUUAAUAACCUCAUCGAUUGACGUUACCCGCAGAAGAAGCACCGGCUAACUCCGUGCCAGCAGCCGCGGUAAUACGGAGGGUGCAAGCGUUAAUCGGAAUUACUGGGCGUAAAGCGCACGCAGGCGGUCUGUCAAGUCGGAUGUGAAAUCCCCGGGCUCAACCUGGGAACUGCAUUCGAAACUGGCAGGCUAGAGUCUUGUAGAGGGGGGUAGAAUUCCAGGUAUAGCGGUGAAAUGCGUAGAGAUCUGGAGGAAUACCGGUGGCGAAGGCGGCCCCCUGGACAAAGACUGACGCUCAGGUGCGAAAGCGUGGGGAGCAAACAGGAUUAGAUACCCCGGUAGUC
rnacentral:rRNA from 1 species